rnacentral:rRNA from 1 species
GUGUCAGCCGCCGCGGUAAUACGAAGGGGGCUAGCGUUGUUCGGAAUUACUGGGCGUAAAGCGCACGUAGGCGGACAUUUAAGUCAGGGGUGAAAUCCCAGAGCUCAACUCUGGAACUGCCUUUGAUACUGGGUGUCUGGAGUCCGGAAGAGGUGAGUGGAAUUCCGAGUGUAGAGGUGAAAUUCGUAGAUAUUCGGAGGAACACCAGUGGCGAAGGCGGCUCACUGGUCCGGUACUGACGCUGAGGUGCGAAAGCGUGGGGAGCAAACAGGAUUAGAUACCCCCGUAGUCC